CGCCUCUUGCAUUCCAAAUAUAAGAGGUCCUGCCUGCCCAGUGACAUUAGUUAAACGGCCGCGGUAUUAUAACCGUGCGAAGGUAGCGUAAUCACUUGUCUUUUAAAUAAAGACCUGUAUGAAUGGCAAAACGAGAAUUYAACUGUCUCUUAGUUYUAAUCAAUGAAACUAGCCUUCCCGUGCAGAGACGGGAAUAUAAAUAUAAGACGAGAAGACCCUAUGGAGCUUUAAACAUAAACUACCUAUUUUUAUUAAACUAAUCAAAAGAUUAAAYAURWAAUUAUUAGYAUUAGMYUAAGUUUUUGGUUGGGGCGACCACGGAAUAUAAARCAACUUCCGAGAUGAAYUACAUUAGAACCACAAUUCAGUGAAUAAAAAAUUUAACAUAAUUGACCCAAUUUUUGAUCAACGAACCAAGUUACCCUAGGGAUAACAGCGCAAUCCUUUCUAAGAGUYCCUAUCGACGAAUGGGUUUACGACCUCGAUGUUGGAUCAGGACACCCAAAUGGUGCAGCAGCUAUUAAAGGUUCGUU
rnacentral:rRNA from 1 species